rnacentral:rRNA from 1 species
UGGGGAAUUUUGGACAAUGGGCGAAAGCCUGAUCCAGCAAUGCCGCGUGUGUGAAGAAGGCCUUCGGGUUGUAAAGCACUUUUGUCCGGAAAGAAAUCCUUGGCUCUAAUACAGUCGGGGGAUGACGGUACCGGAAGAAUAAGCACCGGCUAACUACGUGCCAGCAGCCGCGGUAAUACGUAGGGUGCAAGCGUUAAUCGGAAUUACUGGGCGUAAAGCGUGCGCAGGCGGUUUGCUAAGACCGAUGUGAAAUCCCCGGGCUCAACCUGGGAACUGCAUUGGUGACUGGCAGGCUAGAGUAUGGCAGAGGGGGGUAGAAUUCCACGUGUAGCAGUGAAAUGCGUAGAGAUGUGGAGGAAUACCGAUGGCGAAGGCAGCCCCCUGGGCCAAUACUGACGCUCAUGCACGAAAGCGUGGGGAGCAAAACAGGAUUAGAUACCCUGGUAGUCCACGCCCUAAACGAUGUCAACUAGUUGUUGGGGAUUCAUUUCCUUAGUAACGUAGCUAACGCGUGAAGUUGACCGCCUGGGGAGUACGGUCGCAAGAUUAAAACUCAAAUGAAUUAACGGGGUCAUAGCUG